GACGAACGCUGGCGGCGUGCCUAAUACAUGCAAGUCGAGCGAAUCAAUAGGAGCUUGCUCCUGUUGGUUAGCGGCGGACGGGUGAGUAACACGUGGGCAACCUGCCUGUAAGACUGGGAUAACAUCGGGAAACCGAUGCUAAUACCGGAUAAUUCAUUCCCUCUCAUGAGGGAAUGUUGAAAGUCGGUUUCGGCUGACACUUACAGAUGGGCCCGCGGCGCAUUAGCUAGUUGGUGAGGUAACGGCUCACCAAGGCGACGAUGCGUAGCCGACCUGAGAGGGUGAUCGGCCACACGGGGACUGAGACACGGCCCAGACUCCUACGGGAGGCAGCAGUAGGGAAUCUUCCACAAUGGACGAAAGUCUGAUGGAGCAACGCCGCGUGAGCGAUGAAGGCCUUCGGGUCGUAAAGCUCUGUCGUUAGGAAAGAACAUGUACCGGAGUAACUGCCGGUACCUUGACGGUACCUAACCAGAAAGCCACGGCUAACUACGUGCCAGCAGCCGCAGUAA
rnacentral:rRNA from 1 species